rnacentral:rRNA from 1 species
AACGAACGCUGGCGGCAUGCCUAACACAUGCAAGUCGAACGGGACCUUCGGGUCUAGGGGCGCACGGGUGCGUGACGCGUGGGAACCUGCCCUUAGGUUCGGAAUAACUCCCCGAAAGGGGUGCUAAUACAGGAUAAUGUCUUCGGACCAAAGAUUUAUCGCCUUUGGAUGGGCCCGCGUUGGAUAGGGAGUUGGUAGGGUAAAAGCCUACCAAGGCGACGAUCCAUAGCUGGUCGGAGAGGAUGAUCCGCCACACUGGGACUGAGACACGGCCCAGACUCCUACGGGAGGCAGCAGUGGGGAAUAUUGGACAAGGGGCGAAAGCCUGAUACAGCAAUGCCGCGUGAGUGAUGAAGGGCUUAGGGUUGUAAAGCUCUUUUACCCGGGAUGAUAAUGACAGUACCGGGAGAAUAAGCUCCGGCUAACUCCGUG